ACUCAAAACAUAGGCCGACCAGGCCGUAUUAUCUUUUAUAUAUAUGACAUAUGUCUACAAGCCUCUAAGAGUACAUAAAUGUCAUAAAGGUCGGGAUAGAGUCCCGCCAUACCAAAUAAUACACGUCUAAAUCAUACUAACCAAACGAGCAACUCCGAAGCAAAUGGAGCGCACUAACAUCUUCCGUUGAGCUGAUAGCCUACUUAGAGGGCUCUCGACCUGUCUAUCGGGACUUGCGGGCAUGAAACGCAACGUCCCUAUGCAAAAGGGACAUCAGUACGAAUAAUAUACCGAUUAUGUAAGGCACAUAAACAAGUACAUAAAAGACAUGCAAGAAAUAUAGAGUACAUGACUCAACCUGUAAGUUUGAAUAACUUUGUAAAUCAUAAAUUACUUUUAGCGUCAUGCAUAUGCGUAUGAAUGUAAUGUCAUGCAUAGGUACAUGUUUCAUAACAUCAUCAGCCUCUAAGGGCAUCCAACCAUAUCAUAUCGGCCACUGUAGGCAAAAUCAUCAUCGUAUACCAGCUGAUCAGGUGGUGGUGCGUAUAUAACGACAUAACCUUUCACAUAUCCCAUAUACAUAUAUAUACAUACAUAUAUACGCGUAUAUAACGCCGUUCGAAUCAUAUUUUAGCCACUGUGGGCAACAUCAUCAACAUAUACCAGCCGAUCAGGUGGUGGUGCGUAUAUAAUGACGUAACCUUUUCCCAUAUCCCAUAUACAUAUAUACGCGUAUAUAAUAUCAUCUGGUCAUGGGUCAAUGCACAUGUAUAAAUGAGUGAAAUGCAUGAAAAAUACAUAAUAAUCUCGAUAUUCCUUCCGAAUAAACUUUUCCAACUGUGUAUUAUUCUGAGACCCAUGAACAGAAGAUAAUAAUAGUUCUCAUAGGGAAUCAAGAAUAUAGACACCCCUACUAUUUCUAUGAAUAGAUUAAUUUAUAGAAACUGUGUAUUUACUCAUUUCUUCAGUAUAAUUUGGACCAUGCCAAAAGAAAGAAGGGAUAGCCUUAACAUACCUGAACCGAUUCUGUUUUGCGAAAACACGUAACGGCGAAUUGAAGUGGGAAAAAGUCGGUAUUAUAUUCUUGAGAAAGAUUGUACUGGACUUUCUUUGAAUUAGCGUUUCAUGUUGGACCUUGUAGUGUUUCAAAAAAUUUCACAUUUGAACAUUGUAACAAUUCAAAGAGCUUUCACAUUUGGACAUUGUAAAGUUUAAAGGGCUUCAACAUUUGAACAUUGUGAAGUUUCAAAGGUUUUAACGUUUGGACAUUGUAAAGUUUCAAGGCUUUAACAUUUGGAUAUUAUAAAGCUUCAAAGGCUUUAACGUUUGGAUUUUGUAAGAUUCAGAGAGCUUUCAUGUUCUGUGUAAGGUUUUAGACUUUGGUUUUGUAUUCAAGGUCUUUAGGAAUUAAUAUAAAAGGUCUUUAGAAAGAGAUAUGUCUUGAAUUAAGUUGCCACCUACUCUUAAAUGAGCCUUUGUCAUUUGAUCAGAUUGUGUCUUGUUGCCACGUCACUCUUCCCAUAUUUAUCCAAAGUUUUUUUAAUUAAUUUAAUUAGGUAAUAUCCCGCUAUCCGGUAAUUAAUCAAUUACCCGUAUAAUUAAUAAUUGUCUCAAAUUACUUAAAAUUCUACUUAUUUUUAAUACACUUUAUGCAUAUCUCACUAUCAUGGUCAUAUGGUACUUUGUAUAGUACUAGUCCGUGUCACACCUCCUUUUUUCACUACACCCCCGAGAAGGGUGUAAAAAGGAGUUUUUUCAAUUGAAGGACAAUCGAAACUGGAUUAUUAUAUUAGAUUCAGAGUCGCCACUUGGGAUAAUUUUAUGGUAUCCCAAGUCACCGGUUCAAAUCCCGAAUCGAGGAAAGUAUUGACUCUGUAUUACAGUCCGCGAACACCGAAAUUCGGGUAAGGAAUUCUAUUAACCCGGAAAAAGAUGUUAGGCAUUCCCGAGUUCCGUGGUUUUAGCAUGGUCGCUUAAACUAUUAAAAUUGGCCUAAUUAUCUGACUUAUUACACGUUUUAAACUUAUUGUGCAUUUUUAGCUUUUAUAACCGCUUUUUAAUUAUUUUAAACCGCUUUUAGGAAUUAUGGAAUUAUUUCUUGAACAAGUUACCAUUGUCGUACACUUGCCGUUUUGGCACACACCGCGAAUCACGCUACAUGAAAUGCACCCGCGAUUCGCGACAUGUUUAUUUUAUUAUUGUUUGAAGUUGUUAUGAUCGGGUCACAUGAAAUGCACCCCUGAAUUUGGGAAUUACGUAUCAUAACUAUGUCGCGAGAACCGUACCCAUAGCCAUGAUAAUCUAUUAACAAUCGCGCCUAAAGCAAACUACGUUGUUUUUGAAUUAUUUUUUUUUUAUAAUUAGAUUAAGGCAUGACUAUGGGAAGUGAAGGCGAACUAGGGAGUGUGCUUUUUAUUAUUUGCACCAUUUACUAAUAAAGGGACGCACUUUGACACUUUAAACCUUGAGGAUAACUUCAUUGUUAUUAAGCUAAGUCAAUGUGAAAUUAAUUAACAAAGAGGUUACUAAAACAAAAGUAUGAGAUGAAUUGUUGGGAUUAAAUUAAAAUAUUAUUCUAACAUUUUUUCAUUUAGUGAUCUUUCAAAAUGGUUCUAACGUCUAAAAAUGGAUCAUACAGACCCAUAAUUGGUACUUUAAGCAAAAAAGCAAAAAGCAAAAAGCAACGGGUACUAUUGUUUUAGCCGCUUUUAAUAUUUCAGGAAAAAUUCAAAGUUAUUUAAAACACAUCGUAAGUCACGCUACAUAAAUGCACCGACCGUCCACAACACAUUUUAUUUAACGUUGUUGAGAUUUGGAUUUGGGUCACAUAAAUGCGCACCCGAGUUUAGGAAAGUAAUUUUUAAUAUCGUGCUUAAAUCAACUACACACUUUUAAGUUACUAGGAAGGUUUGCGAGGGCCAUGAAAAAUUCAACUAAUGGCACACCCCGAUUUCUAAAGAGUUAAAAAUUAAUUAAGUGAGGGCCAUGAGUUAUCUAAUUUUGUUUAUGGCACACCUCGAGCCUAAUUUUAAAGGAUGUUUGAACUACUCUUUUGAGAGCCAUAAAUUAUAUGUUUGUUGAUAUGGGACACCGCAAUUUAUUUUUAAAAAACUUAUACUCAAAUGAAGCAAUUGCGGAUAUUCAUGGUUCCCUGAAAUUGAUUUUGCGAUUAUUGAAGCCAGGAAUUAAUGAUUUAAGAAUGUGAAAACAAUACUAUUCGGCCGCUAUAUUUAAAUACAAUAUCAACUUCAAUAGAAAAAUUUCGAAUGGAAGCUCAGGCAUAGAAAAAAAAAAAGGAAUCCGACGCCAAUUUCAACCAUUAAUUUCAACUAACGAAUGACCAAUUACGAAAUAACUUCAACCGAGAAAAUCAAUGUUACACCUAUGAAUAGUUUAAAUUAAUAGUAUCAGGAGCCUACUCAAACACAAUUUGUAAAUAUUCCUCUACUUCAAUCUAAAACUACGGACACAGAACAAUACAUGAUUUCAAUAAAUAUGCACAUUCUUGCGCACACCCCGCGCGUCUCCCUUACUUUAAAUAAUAAUACAAAAUCAUUGAUCAUACAACUCAAAUAAAAUUUCUUGAAAUCAAUUAAACAGUCACAAGCCCAAACCGCGUGUCAACCCCCCCCCCCCCCUAAAUAUCAAUUUAUUUGCUUAACCAACUGGACACUUAAUUGAAGCAAGCAUUUAUGGCAUAAUAUUGAUUAAAAAUGCGAGCUAAUCAAAUUUAGAGAAUAACAAACAGAUCUGGAAUGUUCAACAUGGAUUUAACAUGAAUAGGUCAAGUUUUACUUACUUUAAGUUCACAACAAAGCUGAAAAUUUACAUACCUACUAGGGAGUGAAUUCAACUAAGUAAAAUCUGAAAGUUGUAAAGUCAAUACAGCAGCAACAACAAAAUCUUUAUCAAUUCUUCUUUAAACCCAGGACCAGUAAAAGAAAAUCCAGAAAAUGCUAAAAAAAAACGAAAGUGCUCAGAAAAGCUUGAGGUGAAAAUAUUCUUUUGCCAAUUUUUAUGUUCAGUCGUAUUCCCCUCUCUCCCUCUUUUCUUCCAUCUAAA
rnacentral:lncRNA from 1 species